rnacentral:snRNA from 1 species
GUGCUCAUUUCAUCAGCAUAUAUAUUAAAUUUGGAAUUAUACAGAAAAGAUUAAUGUGACUGCUAUGCAAGGAUGACACACAAAUUCUUGAAGCACUUCAAAUUUUU